AGUACCUCAGUUUAUGAAACGGAUCUGUUCUACGCGACCUUACGUAGUACGGAAAUUUUACAAACCGAAAUGCCAAUUGUGCUACGAAAGGGGCGGUGCUAUAGGCACAAUGCACCCCGGGAAAACCCUUUCAUAGUGCGAAAAAAAGAAAAGAAAACAACAUAAACUGGGGCUUUAUUUCUUAUGGAUUUCAGUUUGUAAACUGAAAAUUACGUAAACUGAGGCAUUCGCAAACCAACAUACUACUGUAUUGCAUAUAUUGACUACUGUAUAUGAUCUCUUUUGUCACCUUCUUUUCUGACUCAAGCUUGAACAUUUGGUAUUUCUUGCUCCAGAUAUGCCUUUGUUGCAAAAUCUUGAGCAUCCUUUUGCUUGCUGGAGAAAAUACCAUCAUGGUGACCAUAUCAUCAGAAUGCUUAUGCUAACCAUCAAAGGCUUAAAUGCCAGUCCUUUCAACGUCAGCGUCUCAGCAAAUCGUGAGAGGUACAAAACAAAUGAGAACAUUAAGGUGACAUGUAAUGCUACAGGCAAACCCUUUCCGGAGUUUUCGUGGCAUCUCCCUUCCACAGAGGGUGUGGAAUUCUCAGACAACAACCGGACCAUUGAGAUAUCUUCAGCUCAGAGUUCCCAUAAUGGGACAUACCUAUGUCUGGCCAAUAAUAUUUAUGGCAAGAAAUCGGCACGAGUGGACAUCGUCUUUGAAGAGUCGACUCGCAGCUGGAUCGCCGCAGUGGUGGUGGUGACGUUGCUGGCAGUCCUGAUCACGGCUGGAGUCGUCUUGUACCGCUGUCAGAAAUGA
rnacentral:lncRNA from 1 species